UACAGAGACUGCAAGCGUUAUUCGGAUUCACUGGGCGUAAAGGGUGCGCAGGCGGCCAAGUGUGUCAGGUGUGAAAUCCCGAGGCUUAACCUCGGAACUGCGCCUGAAACUACUUGGCUAGAGUACUUGAGAGGGUAACGGAAUUCACGGUGUAGCAGUGAAAUGCGUAGAUAUCGUGAGGAACACCAGAGGCGAAGGCGGUUACCUGGACAGUUACUGACGCUCAGGCACGAAAGCGUGGGGAGCAAAAGGG
rnacentral:rRNA from 1 species